UACGUAGGGGCUAGCGUUGUCCGGAUUUAUUGGGCGUAAAGAGCGUGUAGGCGGCCAGGUAGGUCUGCUGUGAAAACUCGAGGCUCAACCUCGAGACGUCGGCGGAAACCAUCUGGCUAGAGUCCGGAAGAGGAGAGUGGAAUUCCGUGGUGUAGCGGGUGAAAUGCGCAGAUAUCAGGAGAACACCCGUGGCGAAGGCGGCUUCUGGACGAUUACUGACGCUGAGACGCGAAAGCGUGGGGAGCAAACAGG
rnacentral:rRNA from 1 species